UACGGAGGGUGCAAGCGUUGUCCGGAUUUAUUGGGUUUAAAGGGUGCGUAGGCGGCCCGGUAAGUCAGUGGUGAAAGCCCAUCGCUCAACGAUGGAACUGCCAUUGAUACUGCCGGGCUUGAGUACAGACGAGGUAGGCGGAAUUGAUAGUGUAGCGGUGAAAUGCAUAGAUACUAUCAAGAACACCGAUUGCGUAGGCAGCUUACUAGGCUGUAACUGACGCUGAGGCACGAAAGCGUGGGGAGCGAAC
rnacentral:rRNA from 1 species